GUUAGCAGGUCAUGGCAGACAUUGAUUCUUGUGAUCCGCAGUUCAUCAGAAGAAAUGGCUUAAGACCUCAAAGGCCACUGGAGCAUGGCGACUCAACUCUGGGAACACCUGAACUGCUUUGAAGGAUGUGUGGAUGUAUACAUGUAAACGACUUUAGGAUAUAUUUUAGACAAUGAAGUCAAUGGAUAAUUGCACCAUGAACCUUAUUUUUUAAAUGAAUACAUCAUGUCAAGUGGCAAAGGAAAGCCCCUCUCUUAGCCAUGUUCAUGUUUGGUAUGGAUCCAUGAUUUACUGUGCAUCUGGAAGCCAUUCUCCUGAGAAGUCUUCAUUGUUUCCCUUGGUGAUACUGGGAGACAUCACCCGGAUAUUAUUAAUCCUUGGUUUGUUUUUCCAAAAUAUCAAGUCUCACGUUAAAUCCUUUAUUCUCUGUGAGGGUUUCUAGAGUAAUCACUCCUUGGCUAGACUAUGCAU
rnacentral:lncRNA from 1 species